rnacentral:rRNA from 1 species
GGUACCUACAGAAGAAGUCCCGGCAAACUCCGUGCCAGCAGCCGCGGUAAUACGGAGGGGGCAAGCGUUGUUCGGAAUUAUUGGGCGUAAAGGGCAUGUAGGCGGUUUGGUAAGUUAAAGGUGAAAUACCAGGGCUUAACCCUGGGGCUGCUUUUAAUACUGCAGGNCUAGAGUCCGGAAGAGGAUAGCGGAAUUCCUAGUGUAGAGGUGAAAUUCGUAGAUAUUAGGAGGAACACCAGUGGCGAAGGCGGCNNNCCUGNNCCGUGUACUGACGCUGAGCNGCGAAAGCGUGGGAGNAACNGAU